UACGUAGGUGGCAAGCGUUGUCCGGAAUUAUUGGGCGUAAAGCGCGCGCAGGCGGCUUCUUAAGUCUGAUGUGAAAUCUCGGGGCUCAACCCCGAGCGGCCAUUGGAAACUGGGAAGCUUGAGUACAGAAGAGGAGAGUGGAAUUCCACGUGUAGCGGUGAAAUGCGUAGAUAUGUGGAGGAACACCAGUGGCGAAGGCGACUCUCUGGUCUGUGAACUGACGCUGAGGCGCGAAAGCGUGGGGAGCAAACAGG
rnacentral:rRNA from 1 species